rnacentral:ncRNA from 1 species
AUGAAAAGGGCAAACCGCCCGAAAGGACGGGACGCAAAGCCAGGGGGCUAAGGCGGGAACGCUAGGCCAGCCCGGCCGCCA